rnacentral:lncRNA from 10 species
CAAUAGCAGACGGAAGUUGGAGGCUAAACACAGCUUCUUUGACCCUCAGGUCUCCUUCUUGGUGAACUCAGCUGAAGACAUCCAAGAUGAUGAGAGUCUCCCCAAGAUAUAGGAGAAGAGAGGGAGAAGCCCAAAGGAGUGGCUAUGCCCCAGACUAGAGAAGCCAGAGGUGGCUUCCCAGUGGUCCAAGUUGGGGCUAAAAAUGUUAGUGUGUACUUUAAUUUCCUGGGGCUGUCUUAAUAAACUGCCCCAAACUAGGUGGCUUACAAGAGAUAUUUAGUCUGUCACCACUCUGGAAACAAGAAAUCUGAAGUCAAGGUGUCAGCAGGACUGUGCUCCCUCCGAAAGCUCUAGGAGAUGA